UGUGUUCUUCUUGCGUAGUUUAUGGGUUUAGAGUUUUCACAACCCUUUUUUUAACCUUUGUUUUUGCUCUUUCUGUUUCGAUGUGUUUUCUUUUGUGGUUGAACCAUCCAAGUUUCUUUCAUUAUACCCAUUCAUCAUUGUUUCAUGUAUUGCUUAUAAAUACUUUUAUAGAUAUCAAGACCUGAGGUGGCAACAAAUAAAUUUUAACAUAUUGUUGAAACAUAAAGUGGUUAAACUCAUUCAAGGAUAUUUAGAAGAUGUUCAUGGUUUUUUGGAGGUAUUUGAGGUGAAGACCACGAUGGAUUGAUGGUUGCCGAAAUGUUGGGAGAGAGUUAAGGUUUUUUGUGAAUGCAAAUUUGGAAUUAAGGUUUCUGAUUUGGGAAUUGCUUACAAUUGGAGUUUCUGAUUUUGGGCUUUGCAGUUAGGGUUUAUGAUUUUCUCAUGAUUUUUGUAAUUACGAAUUGAAGAUUUUGAUUAUGCGAGAAUCGUGGUUUUUUAUUUUAUUGAUGAUGAUUGUGAAUUGGGUUUCUGUUUGUUGGUUGUAGCCUAUCUCAUCUCCAAUGAAUGAUUUCAUUGAUUGUGUUCA